ACUGCGGCUAGGUAAAGCGUUUUGCUGAUGUGGUUCCAGGAUUCAGCUUGAAUCAUGGAGGACCAUUAGACCCAGUCUAAGCAUCUUCUAAACUUUCCUUCCCUUCUCUUCUCUUCGCUCUCUCCUUUUUCCACCCCAAGCUUGAUUCAACUACAUCCAUGGCCGAGUUGGAGAAGUAAAACAAACUCCUCCAAACUUGAACCAGAACCGAAGAAAAAACAAAACAAAGAAUUUGAUGAGAAAUGAGAAAUCGAAGAUCUAGGGCUAAAUUUACUGAGAGAAAUCUGAUUUAAGAGGAAAUGGAGUUACGUUUUGCUGAAUUAUAGAUACUGCAAACUCAACAAAUGGAAAAAAUCUGAGAAAGAUGAAUUACCAAAUCAAUCCGUUGAAAGGAUUUGAUGUAGUUGGCAAGAUUAAAUCCAGUGUUGACUCUGUUUGUCUUGGUGUUGAUAUUCUGGAGAUAAGUUUGUCCUGGUGUUGCUGCAAGAGAUAGUGUUGCUCUGAGUGGUAGACCUUUUGAUCCAGUUCCUGCAGGAAGGAGAGAUAGUGUAAUAUCUUACCCACAAAUAGCUAUCAUGGAGCUUGCACAAGAUGAUGAUCUCUCUGUCAUCCUGCUCAAGUUUUUCAGUGGAAAUUUCAACGAACAAGAAGCAGUCAGUCUUUGGGGUGCUCACAGAUAAAAGGGCAUUUAUAGAAGUGUCCUUCGAGUUGAUCAGCAGUUUAUGAGUGAGGAGAGAACUGCUAGUUGGGUAAGAGUAUACACGUCAAACUAUUACAUGUUUAAACAUGAUUUCUCCAAUGCAAUAUGAAGCUUUCGAACAACAAUUAGAAUGACUCUUGCUGGUUCAUUUUAAUCUUUUGGUGCUAGUAUUCUAUCCGAAGGUUGUUUUGUUAAUAGUUCACUGGUCCGAUUGGGGUAAAUGUUUUUGUUGUUAGUUUUCCCGUGGGUUUUACUUUUAGUGAACUAUUAAUAAAACAACCUUCAGACUGAAACGCACUAGUUCUACUGUUUGGCCAAACACUUGGGUCAGUGUGGAAUUCAGAAGAAGCUUUCAAACAGAAUAUUGUCCUUCUGAGUUAUAUCCCGAGUCAUAAUUCUUAAUUAAACUGCGAUCAUGAUAAAAGAGCAGCCUUUUCCUCCUGAACUUGUAUGAGCGUUGACAUUUCUGGGGAACCCAACGUACUUGCAAUACAGGUGUGUUCAAAAGUUUGAACUGAUGGUGUGGUGUACUGUACCGCUGGUGGUGGGUCAUGAAUGAGCUGAGGGUAGAGGUUAUGACAUUACAUGGUGGUGGACUAGCUGUAACUUGACAUAGGUUACAUUUUAUGAAUCCCUGAGGGAUUUUGCUGAAUAAGGGAAGCAAAGAUGGUUGCCUAAUUCAGAUAUUGGGGUUUGCUGGUGGUAAGUCUCUUGCUUGAACAAUUUAGCUUUUAAUUUUGAAUUUCAAUUCCCGCUUUAUGUUCUUGAUGAUAAUUGCAAUUUUGUUGUGUGGUGGUUCUUCAUUAUUGCAAUGACAUUGCAUUUCACCCCUCUUCUUGGUUUUAGUGCAUAUCUCAUUACCCCACUGGACGUUAUCGAAACAAGACUUCAAGUACAAGGUCCUAUGUCUGUAUCAAAUAAUUACUUACGGGAUUGCUAGAUUUGAAAUAAUGCCAUCUUUAAAUGCAAUCACAUUGCUUGUUCAGGUAUAAAGGCUGGUUGGAUGCCGUUAUAGGAUUUGAAUGAUUGAAGGUGGAUGGGGUUGGUCAUAGGCAGUGUACGAGUCAUAUGUCCCAGCCUCUGCCCUCACAUUCAUGGCGGUGGAAGAUGCUUUUGGAACUGAAGCAGACAGAGACAGUAAAUGAAGUUACAAAUUUACCAGUAGAUGUACAACCUUGUUCCAGCCUCUGCCCUUACAUUCAUGGCGGUGGAAUUCCUCAGAGAUAUUAAUGGAUCUGAAGCAGACUGUAAUAAAGUUACAAAUUUAUCAAUAGAUGAAUAAAACAAGUACAACAUUUACGGCAGUAGCCUAGAAUACCUUUCCAUCUUACCAGUUUCUAUACAAGGGCUGUUAUCAUACCUUCCUGUAUCAUAUUUUGGUGCUGUGACAGCCAAAUGAAAAAACUGCUGUCUGUAUUUGAAUUUCAAACUUGAAUUAUAUGAAUUCAGAAUUUGUUUUCUUCUAUGUA